CUCAAAUUUGAAAUCUGGCCCUCGGGUCCGAAUUGUAAUUUGUAGAGGAUGAUUUUGGUGCGGUAUCUUCCGAGUUCCUUGGAACAGGACGCCUUAGAGGGUGAGAGCCCCGUACGGUUGAAUGCCUAGCCUCUGUAAAUCUCCUUCGACGAGUCGAGUAGUUUGGGAAUGCUGCUCUAAAUGGGAGGUAAAUUUCUUCUAAAGCUAAAUAUUGGCCAGAGACCGAUAGCGCACAAGUAGAGUGAUCGAAAGAUGAAAAGCACUUUGAAAAGAGGGUUAAAUAGCACGUGAAAUUGUUGAAAGGGAAGGAUUUGUGACCAGACUUUUUCUGGGCGGAUCAUCCGGGGUUCUCUCCGGUGCACUUUGCCCAGUAAAGGCCAGCAUCGAUUUUCGGCGGCGGAUAAAAGCAGUGGGAAUGUGGCUCCCUACGGGGAGUGUUAUAGCCCAUUGUAUAAUACGCUGCUGGGGAUCGAGGUACGCGCUUCUGCAAGGAUGCUGGCGUAAUGGUUAUCAAUCAC
rnacentral:rRNA from 2 species